UAUUCCAUGAAAACCGGACAUGAUUUCUUUGUAAUACCGGUUUCCUUGCAUAUAAAUACAGAAAACAUUUAUUUUAAUUGUUUAAAGUUUAGAAGUAAGAAUAAGGGAACGUAAGACUCAUCCAUUCAAUCCAAGAACUGAAUUAUGAUGAAAUCGGGAUUUGCGGUAACCUGCUGGAUCUUCGCCAUUUUGAUACUCGUUCUAUGGCCUUCAGUGAUUGAUGCUCAGUUCUAUUGCCUAUCGAAAUGUAUGGCCGACUUCCGUGCUUGUCUUGACUCGGGACAGUCUGGAUGCUCCAGUAAAGAAGCCAGAUGCAUAUUUAAAUGUAAUCAGCUGUUAGGAUAACCUUUGACGGUAACUACAAUGGAACAUGCAUUUGCCAGGAAAACAAUGCACAAGAUCAUGUGAAAUAAAGUAAAUACAACUACAACA